rnacentral:misc_RNA from 1 species
GAAAUGCGAUAAGUAAUGUGAAUUGCAGAAUUCAGUGAAUCAUCGAAUCUUUGAACGCACAUUGCGCCCGCCAGCACUCUGGCGGGCAUGCCUGUUCGAGCGUCAUUUCAACCCUCAGAACCCCUUGCGGGAUCUGGCGUUGGGGAUUGGCAUCCAGCCAGCCCCGAAAUCUAGUGGCGGUCCCUCCGCGACCUCCCCUGUGCAGUAGCGAUACCUCGCAGCGGGACAGCGGUCUGACCACGCCGUAAAACCCCCAACUUCUCAAGGUUGACCUCGAAUCAGGUAGAAAUACCCACUGAACUUAAGC